UACGUAGGGUGCGAGCGUUGUCCGGAAUUACUGGGCGUAAAGGGCUCGUAGGCGGCCAACUAAGUCAGACGUGAAAUCCCUCGGCUUAACCGGGGAACUGCGUCUGAUACUGGAUGGCUUGAGUUCGGGAGAGGGAUGCGGAAUUCCAGGUGUAGCGGUGAAAUGCGUAGAUAUCUGGAGGAACACCGGUGGCGAAGGCGGCAUCCUGGACCGACACUGACACUGAGGAGCGAAAGCCAGGGGAGCAAACGGG
rnacentral:rRNA from 1 species